rnacentral:rRNA from 1 species
UACGAAGGGGGGCGAGCGUUAUUCGGAAUCACUGGGCGUAAAGCGUGCGUAGGCUGUUUGACAAGUUGGAAGUGAAAGCCCAGGGCUCAACCCUGGAAUUGCUUUCAAAACUGUCAGACUCGAAUCUCGGAGAGGAUAGCGGAAUUUCCAGUGUAGUAGUGAAAUACGUAGAUAUUGGAAGGAACACCAGUGGCGCAAGCGGCUAUCUGGACGAGUAUUGACGCUGAGGCACGAAAGCGUGGGGAUCAAACAGG